CCUACGGUGGGCAGCAGUGAGGAAUAUUGGUCAAUGGACGCAAGUCUGAACCAGCCAUGCCGCGUGCAGGAAGACGGCUCUAUGAGUUGUAAACUGCUAUUGUAAGAGGGUAAACGCAGAUACGUGUAUCAGUCUGAAAGUAUCGUACGAAUAAGGAUCGGCUAACUCCGUGCCAGCAGCCGCGGUAAUACGGAGGAUUCAAGCGUUAUCCGGAUUUAUUGGGUUUAAAGGGUGCGUAGGCGGUCGGAUAAGUUAGAGGUGAAAUCCCGAGGCUCAACCUCCGAAUUGCCUUUGAUACUGUUCGGCUAGAGAGUAGUUGCGGUAGGCGGAAUGCAUGGUGUAGCGGUGAAAUGCUUAGAGAUCAUACAGAACACCGAUUGCGAAGGCAGCUUACCAAGCUACUUCUGACGUUGAGGCACGAAAGCGUGGGGAGCAAACAGGAUUAGAUACCCUAGUAGUC
rnacentral:rRNA from 1 species